GGAAAGGUGGCCGAGUGGUUUAAGGCAGCUGUUUGCUAAACAGCCGUGUCAAGUAAUUGGCACCGGGAGUUCGAAUCUUCCCUCUUUCCU
rnacentral:tRNA from 1 species